rnacentral:misc_RNA from 1 species
UAUAUUAAACGUCUUACGGUAAAAUGAUCUAAAUAAAUAAAGAGAAGAAGAAUUUUAAAAUUUGAACUACUACUACUGGCGUCGGCGUCCAUAUUAUUUUUUGUUAUUAUGUAUUCAUAGAAGAGUGUAUGUAUUGUAGUAAAUGUAGUGUAGUAUUGUCGUCACUCGUCACCGUGGUCGUUACACAACACUCUUUUAUCUAAUAUGAUCACCUCACUGGUUCUUGUUUAAGUUCAAUUCAACUCGACUCGACUAAAAUUCGGUGCCCACGAUUGUGUUAUGUGUUGUAGUUGUAUGGGAAACAUCGUCUACAGAAAACAUUAGGUUUGAAAAUCCCUUUCAAAAACUUGAAGGCUGCACCCAAGCAGAAUAUUAAAAGAAUUAGACAAUAGAUAUAAGUAUAGACACUGAUCGCUGAGGCGAGACAAAAGUGUUUCCUCUAGAGUUAACAAAGGACAUAACCCAUAAAAAGAAGAAAAUAUUGUGGGGUUAUGCUGUGACCUUGUUUCAUGUUAAUGUGGUUCUGAAUUGAAAAUAUAUUCUUAGUACACCACUUGUAUACUUGGUUACUCUACUCUGGAGUAUAAACACAAUACUGAAACAGAUAAAAUCAUGUCUGAUCAAAUAGAAGUAAAACAAGAAUUUAGUGAAGUGUGUAAAAAAGAAGAAGACGAUGAUGAGGUGGGUGAUGCACUACUGGAUACCUUUAAAGUCGAGAUCAAGGAGGAGCCUAAGACGGAAAGUGCCAGUGAUACAUUUGAUUCUGCAGACCUUAAGGAGUAUCCUAUAAAAACUGAAGAACAACAAGCUGGUGCCUCUUGCGAAGACAUCCAAACUGAUGAAUGCAAUGCAAUAUUAAAAUAUCCCGGAAAUAACUUGAACCAAAAUUUAACUGCUACUACCGAUGAGAACACCAGAGAAAAAUAUUUUGAAUGUCAAAUAUGCUUCAAAAAAUUAACAAGAUUUUCUUUAAAAAGACAUAUGAGAGUGCAUACUGAUGAAAACCCCUUUACAUGUGAAUUCUGCACCGAACAGUUUUCAACGAAACAAGCUUUAAAGUGGCAUAUGAGAGUGCAUACCGGUGAAAAACCAUUUGAAUGUGAAAUCUGCUCCAAGAAGUUUUCAACGAAACAAGUUUUAAAGUGGCACACGAGAGUACAUGAUGGUGAAAACCCAUACGAAUGUGAAAUUUGCAACAAACGGUUUUCAAGAAACAAACAUUUAAGUGAACAUAUGAGAGUGCAUGUUGAUGAAAACCCCUUUAAAUGUGAAAUUUGCAUCAAACAGUUUUCAACGAAAAAAGACUUAAAAUCGCAUAUGACAGUGCAUACUAGUGAAAAAUCAUUUGAAUGUGAAAUUUGCAUCAAACAGUUUUCAACGAAACAAGACUUAAAAUCGCAUUUGACAGUGCAUACUAGUGAAAAAUCAUUUGAAUGUGAAAUUUGCACCAAACACUUUUCAACAAAGGGUAAUUUAAAAUCGCAUAUGACAGUGCAUACUAGUGAAAAAUCAUUUGAAUGUGAAAUUUGCACCAAACAGUUUUCAACAAAGGGUAGUUUAAAAGUACAUAUGAGAGUGCAUACUGGUGAAAAACCGUUUAAUUGUGAAAUUUGCACCAAAACGUUUUCACUGAAGCAAGGUAUAAAGUUCCAUAUGAGAACGCAUACUGGUGAAAAACCUUUCGCAUGCAAAAUAUGCACCAAACAGUUUUCAAUGAAACAAGCUUUAAAAUGGCAUUUGACGGUACAUAAUGGUGAAAAACCAUUUGAAUGUGAAAUUUGCACCAAACAGUUGUCAACGAAACAAGCUUUAAAAUGGCAUUUGACGGUACAUAAUGGUGAAAAACCAUUUGAAUGUGAAAUUUGCACCAAACAGUUUUCAAUGAAAUCUAAUUUAAGAGUACAUUUAAAGUUGCAUACCGGUGAAAAACCAUUUGAAUGUGCAAUUUGCACUAAACAGUUUUCAAGGAACGAAGUUUUAAAACGGCAUAUGGUAGUGCAUACUGGUGAAAAACCAUUUGAAUGUGCAAUUUGCACUAAACAGUUUUCAAGGAAAGAAGUUUUUAAACGGCAUAUGGUAGUGCAUACUGGUGAAAAACCAUUUGAAUGUCCAAUUUGCACUAAACAGUUUUCAAGCAAAGAAGUCUUAAAACGGCAUGUGGUAGUACAUACUGGUGAAAAACCCUUUAUUGUCCGACAGGGAUCUCGUGAAUAGGCGGAGCUUGUACUACGCAGACUGAGAAAACUUUAGGGCAGAGAAAGAUGGAGUAUACUGGAAGAUUUACGCUUGAGUUCACGCUGAAGAAUCAUUAAAAUUUUUACAAUGUUGUCAAUAUGUAGAUGAUCACAGUAAUAUUAGGUAUUUUUAGUACGAUACUAUCUAAAGAAAUGAUAUUGUUCCGAAGCUAUUUACUUGUGGUAUCUUAUGAAAUUUACUAUUUUAUUUGGGAAUAAGCCACAAUUUAAGUUUGAAAUUAAAUUUAUUUGACUUUUCGACUCUCACUUCGGAAAUUGUUAUCAAAAUACAAAACAAUAAACUAAACAAAUUUUGUUUUGGUUGCUUUAUCUGACUCAUUCGUAUUGAAAAUUCAGACAUAUAUAUUAUGCCUACAUUUUAAAGUGGAUGAUUUUAAUGAUAUUGUCAAUAUUUAUGAUAGGAAAAUAUAAAUGGUAAAUUGCUAAAGAAAAGAGAUAUUCAAAUAAUUUAAUGAAUAAAAGAAUAAGGGAAAAAUUUUUGGUUAGGUAUGAUAUAUAGUGUGAAAAAGCUCUACAUAACGUGACAUGUUUUAAAGAUACACUCCCCGGCAAAAAAUUCCGGCACUCAAAAUUGUUGAUUAGGUUUGACAAAUUAUAUAUUUAUUAUUUUUACUCCGAUUUUUAAAGAUUCUUGUAUCAGUUUUUAGGUACAUGUAUUGACAUCGUUUAUUAUAAUACCGGCAACAAACAAUUUAAUCAAUCAAAAAUAUUUAGUGGCGGAAUUUUGUGCCGGGGAAUUUUGUGUAGAAUAGAAAUAAAACAAAAUGAUUGAUUAAAAUUUAUUUAUUUAUUUACCAAACAAUAGUAACGGGAUUAGUACGGGACUUUCACUUUAAAAGAUCCUACUUGGAAAACUUUAUUACUUGUAAGUAUUUAACGAUACAAUAUUUAAAUAAGGUAAUAAUAUUUUAUUCAUUAUAUAUUCACGGUUACACAUUCGACAAAAUUAUUUUCUUUAAUUUAAAAAGUAUAACAUUAUUUAAAAUAUCAUAGAUAAUUAUGAUAUCAUUACGAUAAAAUUAAGAGGCUUUCAUUUUAAAAGAUUCCACUUGGAAAAAUUCAUUAGUUGUAGAUAAGUAAGUAUUUAACGGUUUAACUUGAAUAAGGCAAUAAUUAUAUUUUAUGAUUCUUACUUCUUAUGUAUUAACAGAAACACACUCUACAAAAUAAUUAUUUUUAAUGCAAAAAGUAUAACACUAUUUAAAAUAUUACUGAAAAUUAUAUUAUUAAAAAUAAAUCGGAUUUUUUUACCCAUGGGGCUUAGAGAUCCCCGGUAUCUGAUUCAUCAUCGGAAAGAUCCCAUUCCGAAUCACUGUCUCUUAAAGUAAUGACAAUCUUUUCCAUAUUAUUUUCUAUGGUUGCUAGUCGCAGCAAAAAUUCUUGCUCGCAUUUUUUUGCAUGGUUGAAUCGGCCUUGCCACUCAGUUGGAGGGAAAGUGGCAAAGAAUUGUUCACAUAACUCCUUAAGAUUAUUUAUAUUAAAUGUGACAUUUUUUGAUGCUACAUACGAUUUUAAGCUGGCCCAGACCAGCUCAAUUGGAUUAGAAUCUGGGUGAUAGGGAGGUAAUCUUAAAAUUGAAUGUCCAUGUUUUAUUGCAAUCUCGUCUAUUGCAUAGCGAACAUAUGUUGGUUUAUGUAUUUUCACUAAAUCGUAGAGUUCCGUCUUUAGCAUACCAUUGUUUAUUGGAAUGUUUCUAGCCUCUAACCAUUUCUUUAUAAUUUCUUUUGGUGAUGCUGAUGUUGGUGCCUUAUCAAUUUGUUUGUUGUGGUAAGGUGUAUUAUCUAUCACUAUAACACUUUGUGGAGGAAGAUUUGGUAUUAGUUUGUUUUCAAACCAUUUACUGUAAUUUUCAAGUGACAUAUCGUCGUGAUAGUCGCCUGUUUUUAGACCAGAUUUAAAAACUAAAGCAGCCCCUUGAAUAAAACCACACUCACCACCAGCAUGCACAAUAAUCAAACGAUUUCCUUUUGAUGUGGGCUGCUUAACACCUUCCUUCGAAUCAUCACUCCAACUUUUGCGUGUGGUAUGUGUUGAGUGGAUGUAUGUUUCAUCCAUAUACACUAUAGGGCGACUUUCUUCUCGGUACCUAUUAAUAGCUCUUAAAUAGUGUAUACGAAGUUUUUGGAUGUCAUGUCUCUCCAUUAGAACUUUUCUAUUGGUUUUUGUUUUUCUCCAACGGAAGCCAAUGUCUCUUAUAAUCAAUCUUAAAGAUUCCCGACUAUCUUGAUAUCCUACAGCAUCUUUGAAUUUAGAAAGAAUAUUCUUCAGCUGAGGUACUUCUGCAUCACUUAUAUGCAUAUUAUGAAUAAUACGCCUUAAAACCCCUUUGUCGACGUCGUCAAUAGUCUGCAUCUUUUUUUCUUUUACAAUAUGUUUCCUUGGGGAGGAAAACGAUGAGCAUUGUCCUGCAAUUAGAUAAAUAUAUUCCAUUAGUGUUAGAGUAUAGAAGUUGCUAUGGAUAUCAUAUAAAAUAUAAUAUAGUUAAAUCCAAACCCUUCUUUCAGUGUAUCAUAGUUUAUCGAAUUCUGAAUCGGCAUUUGUCAGAUUUGACUAAAAGGUCAUGCAAAAUUAAUGACGCACUGACAGAAGGGUUUGGCUUGAACUAUGUAGGUAUUUUUUUACUACUUUCUAUAUUACAUACCGUCUUCAAUUUUUGUUUGUUCGACCGAGACUCUGUAAAUUGUACUUUCGUAAAUAUAAUUUGCUCUUAAACUCCAUGCUACAAUUAAAUAACACUAAUUUAGGUAUGGCUACUUUUUAUAUUAAAACUAUUAUACAGAAAAACUUAAACGAAAAACUUGCAACACUAAAUGAAACAGAAGGUAAUAAUGAUGUAAACAACCUAUGGAAGAACUAUAAGAAUCUACUACUGAGUUAGCUAAGGAAGUAUGUGAAAUAAGUAAAAAGACUCAACAAAGAAACAGACAACGCAGUGGUUCGAAAAAAUAAAUAGCAAGUAAAAGGGAAGCAAAUAACAUAGAAACAAUAUUUGAAAGAUAAAACAAACAAGAGCUGCAAUAACUAUAAAAAUGAAAGGAAAAAUGUAAAAAUAUGAGCAAUAGCAGCAAAGAAUUGGGAAAAUUCAGAGACAAAAUGGAAGAAGAUAGCAAAAGUAACCAACAAUCAUUCUACAGAACCCUGAAGACAAGAGGGACAAAAAAAACAGAAAUAUGCAGAAAAUAUACAUUUCUUGACCUUUAAAAAGCCUUCAAUAACGUACCAAGACAGAAACUACGGAAAAUAUUAGGAGAAAAAGGAAUGGACAACAAGCUACUAAGAAUGAUACAAAAAAUAUACAAUGAGAGCAACAAUGCUGUAAUUAGUAAUAAUUAUUUAACAUUACAUACGUUUACAAUAAAUGGAGGUUUAAGACAGGGAAGAGCACUUAGCUCAAACAAUAUUCAGAAUAUUAUAAGGACAAAAUUAUUAAGAACAAAAGAAAUUAUGCACAGCAAGGAAUAAAAAACUGAAUGUAGGGCAUAGAAAUCUACAAAGAGUAGAAAUCUCAGAAGGAGCAUUUGCUGACAAUGUGCUAAUUGCAAAAAAUUAAAAAGAACUUCAGAACAAUUUGGAAAUAUGGAAAUAAGUAUUUAACGAAAAAGAAAAAUAUCAACAAAACAAAAGUUAUGCAGAUGGGAGAAACAAAAGAGGAACUUGUGUACACAUGACCAAAGAAUGACCAAAAAUAGAAUAAGUUGAAGCUUUUAUGUACUUAGAAGUACCUAAUAAUAGAAGAAACAAGAUCUUUAAAUGUUGUUCUGAAGCUAUUUCCUUGUGGCAAUUUUAUAAUUGCGCAAUCGCAGACGAUUUUAAAUCGAAGCGCAAGAUCGCAGACGAUGGAGGGCCAUAGUGGAUGCGGCGAGGACUCACCCCGAGUUGUAAAGCCAGUCAAGAAGAAGAAGAAUUUUAUAAUUAACUAUUUUGAUUGAGAAAUAAGCCACAAUUAAAUUGAAGAAAUAAUUUUAUUAUUUUUUCAAUUUAAUUCUAAUAUUUUAAUAAAAUUAUUUUUUCAAUUUAACUGUGGCUAAUUUCCCAAUCAAAAUAGUUAAGGAUCUUUAGAAGAAGAAAUCAAUAGAAGAGAAGAGAAAACGCUACAAUAAUUGUAUCUCACAAUGAAAAAAAAUAAUGUGUGUGUACUUUGUACGCACGUAAGAAGAUAUUCUUCUAUUAUAUAGGUAAUUUAAACGAAGUAAAUAUACUUAACAGGUUAUUUGUAUUUUAUUUAAAAAUUAAACUAACUUUCUUAUCUACCACUUUCAAAUUUUUUUUAUUAAAAUAACGAAAAAUAAAAAAAAGUAUGAAUCGUCCAAGGAUUAGAACCCGCGACCUUCCGUGUGCUUCCGUUCUCUGUCCCACCGCUCAGCCAACUACGCCAUCGAGCCACUUGAAUUGACACGUAAGAUUCGGAUAUAAUUACACAACACGGCGACAAACUGUAAAUGAUAUGCUUACAUAUUUUAUUAUUUUACUACAGGGAAAUACAAAUCCAAAAACACAAGAAUUAAAAUAAAUAAUACAUUUCCUAAAACCACUAAUAUAUUCUUUUAAUGACUUAUUUGCACGGUUACAGAUACAUACAUACCUAUCUUGAAAGAUUAGCAAUGAACUACAUACUGUCAGUGUGCGCAGGCGCGUGGUUCAUGUACAAUUUUACCCUCAAUCGAUUCGUCGCUAAAGAAGAAUAUCUUCAAAAAAAUCAUAUGCAGAAAAGAAAUACUUUUGCAGAAAAGAAAUACUAGAUUUUUAUUAAUAUAUGUAUAUAAUAUAUUACAAUUUAUCUACUUACCUUUACAGUUUUUAAUUUUAGCAGAGUCCUGAAAAGAACUUUUGCAUAAAACGAGUACAACUUAAAUAAAAAGAAAUAAUGCAACACUGUCAAAAUAUCGAAUAGCUCACAGUAGAACGUCUGGCGCACGAAUGCCUUUACUGGACGUGGCUAAACCCCCACUUUCCACCCAGUUUUAUGCGCGGUGACAACUUUAUUUCACGAGAUCCCUGUCGGCCUGUACAUGUAAAAUUUGCACCAAACAGUUUUUACUAAAGAAUUACUUAACAAAACAUAUGAAGUUGCAUACCGCUGAAAAAAAAUUUAAAUGUGAAAUUUGUACCAAACAGUUUUCAACAAAACAAGUUUUAAAAGGGCAUAUGAGAGUGCAUACUGGUGAAAAACUAUUUGAAUGUGAAAUAUGCUCCAAACAGUUUUCAUACAGGCCUAGCUUAACAGCACAUAUGAAAACACACUUGUGAUUAGGAUAAGGUCCGUACCUCACCGGGACGCCAUGGCCACCAUGGAUUGUCAAGAACGCUGCCCGUUUCCACCACAUUCCCUCUUGUUACAUAUACAUAGACAGAAAUGGACGUAGAAGAAAUCACACUGUUAUAUUAUUUUUAACUUGCUACUUAAGUCGCAAAAAUAUUAAGCAGAAGAAAAAGGAAAAAAUAUGGGUACAUCCUUUUAUACUAAAGCGAAACGAGAUUGGUGUUUUUGGCAAACUAUAUGAAGACUUCUUGAAAUAUCAGAGUAAUCCUUUGUGGCACUGUUUCACAAAUAUAACCGACUUUCGGUCUCUACAAUAAACCUUUCUCUAUCAAAAUUCCUUUUGCUUUAUAUCUUUCCAAGUAACGACUGGUUGGCGACUGAAUGAGUGACGGUACGUACACUCUCGUUUAUAUUGCUGGUAUCGUCGCCAAGUGGCCAGGAUAGCCAGUCGCCACAAGAGAAACUGUAGACAGUGGCGACGCCUCUAAUUCAGAUCCGUCGCCAAGUGGUUGCCAAGUGUGAUACCUGCCAUUCAUUUUAAAAGAGUCAAUUUUAAGCGUCGCCAUUGCGUCCUGGUGGCGAUUUUACAAAAUAUACCCGCUCUCAACACCAGCUCCGCCUCCUACGCAUACGUCGUCCACAUAACUGUAAUAAUCAUCACCAUCCGCUCUCAACACAUCUUACAAAAUAUACUCGAUUCCAGCACAUAUGAGUCAAGUUAAUAUUUUUCGAGCUAUUUGCGAGUGAAUGAUAUGUUUUUCAACAACAAACACUAGUUUUUCGACGGUUUUCGCAAAUAACUCAAAAAGUAAGUUUUCUACCGAAACAAAAUGUUUAGCAAAAAGAUAGCAUAUAAAAAAAGUGAAAAAAAUGAUGUAUAUAUGAAGUCUGUAUACCCAGUAGAAGCAAAGUUGUAGCUAAUGAAAAGUAGGUUCUUCGUCAAAUUCCAAAUCGAUUAUUUAAACGUGAAAUAACCGUUUCUAUGGUCAAGUAGGUGUCUCUCGCGAAGACAUCCACAAUGAUGCACGAAACCUAUUAAAGUAUACUGGAAAUAAUUUGAACCAAAAGUUACCUGCUACUACGGAUGUGAACAUCGA